rnacentral:rRNA from 1 species
UACGUAGGGUGCAAGCGUUAAUCGGAAUUACUGGGCGUAAAGCGUGCGCAGGCGGUUAUGCAAGACAGAUGUGAAAUCCCCGGGCUUAACCUGGGAACCGCAUUUGUGACUGCAUAGCUGGAGUACGGCAGAGGGGGAUGGAAUUCCGCGUGUAGCAGUGAAAUGCGUAGAUAUGCGGAGGAACACCGAUGACGAAGGCAGUCCCCUGGGCCUGUACUGACGCUCAUGCACGAAAGCGUGGGGAGCAAACAGG